rnacentral:rRNA from 1 species
UCUGGCUCAGGAUGAACGCUGGCGGCGUGCUUAACACAUGCAAGUCGAACGGAGUUUUAACGGAAGUUUCGGAUGGAAGUUAGAAACUAGUGGCGGACGGGUGAGUAACGCGUGGGUAACCUGCCUCAUACAGGGGGAUAACAGUUAGAAAUGACUGCUAACACCGCAUAAUAUAGCGAAACCGCAUGAUUUUGCUAUCAAAUAUUUAUAGGUAUGAGAUGGGCCCGCGUCUGAUUAGCUAGUUGGUGGGGUAAAGGCCUACCAAGGCGACGAUCAGUAGCCGGCUUGAGAGAGUGACCGGCCACAUUGGGACUGAGACACGGCCCAAACUCCUACGGGAGGCAGCAGUGGGGAAUAUUGGACAAUGGGGGAAACCCUGAUCCAGCCGACGCCGCGUGAGUGAAGAAGUAUUUCGGUAUGUAAAGCUCUAUCAGCAGGGAAGAUAAUGACAGUACCUGACUAAGAAGCCCCGGCUAACUACGUGCCAGCCGCCGC